rnacentral:rRNA from 1 species
UACGUAGGGUGCAAGCGUUGUCCGGAAUUAUUGGGCGUAAAGAGCUCGUAGGCGGUUUGUUGCGUCGGCUGUGAAAUCCCGAGGCUCAACCUCGGGUCUGCAGUCGAUACGAGCAAACUAGAGUGUUGCAGGGGAGACUGGAAUUCCGGGUGGAGUGGUGAAAUGCGUAGAGAUCCGGAAGAACACCAGUGGCGAAGGCGGCCCGCUGGGCAGUGGCUGACGCUGAGGCGCGACAGCGUGGGGAGCAAACAGG